rnacentral:rRNA from 1 species
UACAGAGGGGGCAAGCGUUGUUCGGAAUUACUGGGCGUAAAGGGCGCGUAGGCGGCCCGCUAAGUCGAACGUGAAAUCCCUGGGCUCAACCCAGGAACUGCGUCCGAUACUGGCAGGCUUGAAUCCGGGAGAGGGAUGUGGAAUUCCAGGUGUAGCGGUGAAAUGCGUAGAUAUCUGGAGGAACACCGGUGGCGAAGGCGGGUCUCUGGGCCGAUACUGACGCUGAGGAGCGAAAGCGUGGGGAGCGAACAGG